rnacentral:lncRNA from 1 species
UGAAUCCGAUUACUGUAGUUGAAAUUGUAUAAGAAGGCUCAACUACAAUAUGUGGAACUACACACAAAUUAGCUACAGUUCCUAUCUCGAGACAAUAGACUCAAGAGACUAAUAAGUUAAGUUGGGUAAGCCUGAUAAGUUGAGUAGAGGUGCGGUCCACAAUGUUGGCUUAAAUGAACCAGCAUUCUGCCCUGUGGCGAAAGGCCAUGUGGGCCGAGUCAUGUUCGAAAUGGCGUGAGGCUGGGUUGGGCCGAGUCAUGUUCGAAAUGGCGUGAGGCUGGGUUGGCCGAGUCACAAUCGAAACCCGUGGACGUUGUUUCUGUACGCUUUAAGUGAAUUGGUUGUGUAUUUCUAACAGCUCAAGCUUUUGGGAUUAAUGGUUAGCGCCAACGAUCCGACACACAAGAGGCCUAAUGGCAAGAGGCCCAACAAUAGACCCCAACAAUAGACCUAAUAUUCAGGUGGGUUAAGUCAGGUCUAAGCCCAUGAGCGCUGUGGUUGAACCCUUAAAUACAAUGAGUGCGCCCGUCCUACUAGCACUUGCUUUUGAGAGAAUUAGUUAGCGCUUACGAUCCACAAAUUGUACUUCAAAAAAAGUUUAUCUUU